rnacentral:rRNA from 1 species
UACGUAGGGGGCAAGCGUUGUCCGGAAUUAUUGGGCGUAAAGCGCGCGCAGGCGGCUUUGUAAGUUUGGUGUUUAAUCUCAGAGCUCAACUCUGAUUCGCAUCGAAAACUGCAAGGCUUGAGUGCAGAAGAGGAAAGUGGAAUUCCACGUGUAGCGGUGAAAUGCGCAGAUAUCAGGAAGAACACCCGUGGCUAAGGCGGCUCUCUAGUACGGUACUGACGCUGAGACGCGAAAGCGUGGGGAGCGAACAGG